UGCAAGUCGAGUGGGUUUAGACCCACGGCGAACGGGUGAGUAAUACCUAGGAAUGUCCUUUAAGUUGAGAAUAACCCACCGAAAGGUGGAAUAAUACUCGAUGUGGUCGUAAGACUAAAGUCGCAAGACGCUUAAAGCGCAGCCUGGGCACCAUCAGCUAGUUGGUAAGGUAAUGGCUUACCAAGGCUAUGACGGUUAGGGGCCCCGAGAGGGGAGACCCCCACACUGGAACUGCGACACGGUCCAG
rnacentral:rRNA from 1 species